UGGGGAAUAUUGGACAAUGGGCGAAAGCCUGAUCCAGCCAUGCCGCGUGAGUGAUGAAGGCCUUAGGGUUGUAAAACUCUUUCGCCGGGGAAGAUAAUGACGGUACCCGGAGAAGAAGCUCCGGCUAACUUCGUGCCAGCAGCCGCGGUAAUACGAAGGGAGCUAGCGUUGUUCGGAAUUACUGGGCGUAAAGCGCACGUAGGCGGGCUAUUAAGUCAGGGGUGAAAUCCCGAGGCUCAACCUCGGAACUGCCUUUGAUACUGAUAGUCUUGAGAUCGGGAGAGGUGAGUGGAAUUCCUAGUGUAGAGGUGAAAUUCGUAGAUAUUAGGAAGAACACCAGUGGCGAAGGCGGCUCACUGGCCCGAUACUGACGCUGAGGUGCGAAAGCGUGGGGAGCAAACAGGAUUAGAUACCCCCGUAGUCCCUGAGCGGGCUGGCAAGGCGCAU
rnacentral:rRNA from 1 species